GAUGAACGCUGGCGGCGUGCCUAAUACAUGCAAGUCGAGCGAACAGACGAGGAGCUUGCUCCUCUGACGUUAGCGGCGGACGGGUGAGUAACACGUGGAUAACCUACCUAUAAGACUGGGAUAACUUCGGGAAACCGGAGCUAAUACCGGAUAAUAUAUUGAACCGCAUGGUUCAAUAGUGAAAGACGGUUUUGCUGUCACUUAUAGAUGGAUCCGCGCCGCAUUAGCUAGUUGGUAAGGUAACGGCUUACCAAGGCAACGAUGCGUAGCCGACCUGAGAGGGGGAUCGGCAACACUGGAACGGAGCCCGGGUCAAGACACCUACGGGAGGCACAAGUAGGGAAUCUUCCGCAAUGGGCGAAAACCUGACGGAGCAACGCGGCGGGAGGAAAAAAGGUCUUGGGAUCGUAAAACUUUUUUAUGGGAGAAGAACAAAUGUUAACGAAAAUAUGCACGUCUUGACGGUACCUAAUAAAAAAGCCAGGGCUAACUACGUG
rnacentral:rRNA from 1 species